CAGCAGCCGCGGGAAUACGUAGGUCCCGAGCGUUGUCCGGAUUUAUUGGGCGUAAAGGGAGCGCAGGCGGUUUAGUAAGUCUGGAGUUAAAGGCAUUGGCUCAACCAAUGUAUGCUUUGGAAACUGUUUGACUUGAGUGCAGAAGGGGAGAGUGGAAUUCCAUGUGUAGCGGAGAAAUGCGUAGAUAUAUGGAGGAACACCGGUGGCGAAAGCGGCUCUCUGGUCUGUCACUGACGCUGAGGCUCGAAAGCGUGGGUAGCGAACAGGAUUAGAUACCCGUGUAGUCCCUGUCUCUUAUACA
rnacentral:rRNA from 1 species